UACGGAGGGUGCAAGCGUUAUCCGGAUUCACUGGGUUUAAAGGGUGCGUAGGCGGGCAGGUAAGUCCGUGGUGAAAUCUCUGAGCUUAACUCAGAAACUGCCAUGGAUACUAUUUGUCUCGAAUAUUGUGGAGGUAAGCGGAAUAUGUCAUGUAGCGGUGAAAUGCUUAGAUAUGACAUAGAACACCAAUUGCGAAGGCAGCUUACUACACAGUUAUUGACGCUGAGGCACGAAAGCGUGGGGAUCAAACAGG
rnacentral:rRNA from 1 species